GAUGAACGCUGACAGCAUGCUUAACACAUGCAAGUCGACUGUGGCGGACGGGUGAGUGACGCGUAAAGAGCUUGCCUCACAGAUAGGGACAGCAUUUGGAAACGAAUGCUAAUACCUGAUACUGUGGGAGAGCUUUGCGUCCCAUUAGCUAGUUGGGGAGGUAACGGCUCACAAAGGCGAUGAUGGGUAGCCGGCCUGAGAGGGUGAUCGGCCACAAGGGGACUGGGACACCGCCAGUACUGCUACGUGCGCCAGGAGUGGGGAAUAGUGGACAAUGGACCAAAGUAUGAUGAAGGAAUUCUGGGUGCAAGAUGAAGUUUUCGGAAUGUAAAGUGCUUUGAGUUGGGAAGCGGUACCAACAGAAGAAGUGACGGCUAAAUACGUGCCAGCAGCCGCGGUAAUAC
rnacentral:rRNA from 1 species